CCUACGGGUGGCAGCAGUGGGGGAUAUUGCACAAUGGGGGAAACCCUGAUGCAGCGACGCCGCGUGGGUGAAGAAGCGCCUCGGCGCGUAAAGCCCUGUCAGCAGGGAAGAAAAUGACGGUACCUGAAGAAGAAGCCCCGGCUAACUACGUGCCAGCAGCCGCGGUAAUACGUAGGGGGCAAGCGUUAUCCGGAGUUACUGGGUGUAAAGGGGGAGCAGAUGGCGAUGCAAGCCAGGAGUGAAAGCCCGGGGCCCAACCCCGGGACUGCUCUUGGAACUGCGUGGCUAGAGUGCAGGAGUGGCAGGCGGAAUUCCUGGUGUAGCGGUGAAAUGCGUAGAUAUCAGGAGGAACACCGGUGGCGAAGGCGGCCUGCUGGACUGCAACUGACGUUGAGGCCCGAAAGCGUGGGGAGCAAACAGGAUUAGAUACCCCAGUAGUC
rnacentral:rRNA from 1 species